UAGAAAUUUGUUCAUAGACAUCGCAUGUUUUAAAUCGGUCAGACUUGCACACGAUGUAAAAAAGUAAUCUAACAUCGUUUUACGAAAAUACCGAUUUAAAUGUAUAUCAUUAACAUCGGGUCUUAAAAUGACCGGUGUUAAAAGUUUUGUUUGAAAAUUUGCGGGAACCUACUUUUGCAAAACGCGCUAAGUCUUUUAAGUGAAAUGAAGAAGCGGGUACUAAAACUCAAAACUUUCACACUUAAAAAAAAUUUUGCACCCGACCCCAAAACUGAAACAGAUCGAAACCCUUGAGCUCAGUCUCGAGCUCCUCCCAAACUUGAGCUCCUCCUCCUCCUCCUCACCAUCACAAUCCUUCCUCCUCCAUUUUUGGCGGAAUCUAAAGAGCUGAGAGAGUCGAAGAAACCUAGAUCCCAACAAUGUCGAAGAAACCCGAGCUCCUUCUCGACCUUUCUUCGCCUCUGACUGAGAUCAAUUAGCUUAAUUCUCAUCUCAUCUCAGCUUCUCUCUCCAGAUCAGUGUAUGAAUUUCUAAACCCAGCCCCCUUUUUCUUUUUCGCUCUUCGAUGUUUUCUGCUAGUUGCUUUUAUUCUAUGGAUUUGUGCGCUAGAGCCCGGCCUCACAUAUAAAGAGAAUGAGUUAUGGGUGAGUCUCAAUUUCCUGCUCUUCUUCCACCAUGACCGAUAAAGUUGAAUCGUCUGACCCGUAAUCCCUCAGAUCCAAUUCCUCUUCUUUUCGAUUUUGACCUAACUUUUUUGGUUUUCUGCAAUCUUUAGGGGCGACACAAUCGUCAUCAAGGUGUGAUUUUGAUGUGGGUUUUGUUGGUUUAUUCAGAAUAUUGUUGAAGAAAAUUGAUGGAAUUUUGCUUAAUUAGGUUUCGGGUAGUGAGUGAAGGAUGGAUUUGUAGUUGGGUUGAUGGGUUUUGUGUGUUUUGUUUGAGAUCUGGUGACUGGGUGUGUUUUGGUGUCCGAAAGUUGAGGUUUUGAUGUAAAGUUUUAUGCUUUUCUGCUGGCUCUGAACCCUUAUACUCUUUUUUAGUUCUCUUAAUCACCUUGUUUAAGUUGCACUCGUGUGGUUCCUAAUUCUGACAUUACAAUGUUGUUUUGAAUUGGUUCGACCCCGAAACCGAUUGUGGUUUCUCCAACGACCGAGCUUCUUCGAGGACGACCGAACUCAGAAUCGAGGAUGGGGCACAACUGAAGCGCUAUUUGAUCCCCAAAUCUAGAGUGAAAUCUGAGAGAAGCAAAACGAAAAGCGAAAUCAAAACCAGAGCAAGGUGAUGAUUCAAAACAGAGUUUUUACUUUGGUCCUUUUGAAGACGUAACUCAAAAUAAGUUGAAUCAAUGGCCUCCAGAAGUUCCGCCAGGAAAAGAAUAUUAGUAUCUCUGAUUGCCCUGGCUUUGAACCUGGAUGAGAAUUUUUUUGAGAAAGUUGGGGAUCUGAAUGGCCACUUUUGCAAUUCUUCACCUUUUGCACCAUCCAGAAUUGGUGAAUUCCGGUGCUGGAUAGUUGGGGAUUUAAUGAGCAUUUCUAUUGGUGAUGCGGAAUUGAUGGCAAGCCCAGUCAUGUUCUAUGCAGAUUUUCCAGAAAGCAAUAUCAACUUCAAAUGCUUACAAUGAUCAAUUCAGGACCAUAAGCCACAAGAGAGUUAAGCUUGCCAACCUUGGUCGCCGUGGAUUAAAGAAAAAAAUCAAGGAAGACAAUUAAGGACCCCCUUAAGUCUUUCAGUGCUCAGCUUAUUUCCUGGAGGCCUACACCCUAGUGAGGAAGGGUGAUCUCUUGAUUGUGAGAGGAGGAAUGAGGAGUGUCGAGUUCAAGGUUAUUGAGACUGAUCCUUCUUGAGUAUUGUGUUGUUGCUCCAAACACUGAAAUAUUUCCAAUAGGGUUUACUAAGGUGGCUACAGAUAAGAAUUCUAAAGCUGGAUCAAAUGUCUAGGCUAGCCUUUGUAGGUUUUGAGGUUUUAUUUUGUGAAUUAUGUUGAAUCAUGAAUUUGAAAAGAAAUUAAUGGAAGCCUCAAUUUUUGGAUGA